rnacentral:lncRNA from 1 species
CUUUGUUUCCUGGCUCAAAAAUGUCAUUAUUGAACUUUAUGGUGAAGUUAAUGCAUAUAAAAGUUUUGAAUCAGUGGAGUAACAAAUCUUUUAACAUGUUAUUGGAAUUACUAAAAAACGUUUUUCCAGAAGAUAUUGGAUUACAAACUUCAACAUAUGAUGCCAAGAAAAUGCUAAGCGAAUUGGGAUUGGGUUAUGAAACUAUUCAUGCAUGCAAGCAUGAUUGUGUAUUAUUUUGGAAAGAGCAUGAAUGUGCUAGUAGGUGCUCGGAAUGUGAUGAACCACAAUACAAACCUAAUUUUGGAAAGGGAAAGAUGGCUUCAAUCCAUUUGGAAACAUGCAUAAUUCCUACAACAUGUGGCCUGUUGUUCUAGUACAAUACAAUAUGCCACCAUGGAAGUGCAUGAAAGAACCGUUUAUGAUGAUGUCAUUGCUAAUUCCAGGGCCACAUGCACCAGGAAGAGAUAUUGAUGUUUAUUUGAGACCACUAGUAGAUGAGUUGAAAGAAUUAUGGGAAGUUGGUGUUGACACGUUUGAUGCUUAUAGUGGUCAAAUGUUUUCUAUGCGUGCUGCUAUAAUGUGGACCAUUAAUGAUUUGCCUGCUUAUGGAAAUCUAUCGGGAUGGAGCACUAAGGGAUACAAAGCUUGUCCAAUAUGUAAUGAAAAUACUUCUUCGAAUAGGUUACGUAGUAAAAUAUGCUUUAUGGGUCAUCGAUGUUAUUUGCCACUGAACCAUCCCUGGAGAAAAAGUAAAUUACAUGAUGGUAAAUGGGAACUAUGACCACCACCCAAAAAAUUAUUAGGAGAUGAUAUUUUAAAGCAAUUACUGGUUGUGAGGUGUGGGAAACCUGGAAAGCACCCAAGUAAUAAAGAUAGGAAAAGGAAACGAACUCCAAAUGAGAUAAACUGGGCAAGAAAAAGCAUUUUCUUUGAGUUGGAGUAUUGGUCUAAAUUGAAACUAAGACACAAUUUAGAUGUGAUGCCUAUUGAGAAGAAUGUGUGAUAUAAUAUUGUUGAAACAUUGUUGAAUGUUGAAGGGAAGACAAAAGAUACGGAUAAGGCUAGAUUGGAUUUGCAAGAUAUGAACAUUAGAAAAGAAUUGCAUUUAAAACCACAUGGUAAUGGAUUUUUGAAAUCUCAUGCUUCUUACACAUUAACGUUGGGGAAAAAAAUCUUUUAUAAGUUCUUGAAAUCUGUGAAGUUUCCUGAUGGAUAUGUAUCAAAUAUUUCUAAAUGUGUUCGAGAAAAUGAAGGCAAAAUUUUAGGUUUGAAAACUCACGAUUGUCAUGUAUUGUUGCAACAACUUCCUCCCAUUGUUAUUCGAAAAUUUUUGCGAAAGGAGGUUUGUACUGCAAUUGUAGAGCUUUGUUGUUUUUUUUAAACAAUUAUGUUCAAGAACAUUGAAUAUAAAUGAUUUAGAGAAAUUGGAAGAAGGGAUUGUUAUAAGUAAACUAGAACGAAUUUUCCCACCGGCAUUUUUUGAUGAAAUGGUUCAUUUAGCUGUUCACCUACCUGAAGAAGCAAAACUUGGAGGUCCCGUAGCAUUUAGAUGGAUGUAUCCAAUUGAAAGGUAAUUGAUAAUAUUUCAUGCAUAUAUACUUGUUCAUUGAAUUAUUGUUUUCAAAAACUUUUCAUGUAAUAUUUGAUGACAGAAUAUUAGGUCGAUAUAAGAGUUAUGUUAAGAAUAAAGCUCGACCGGAAGGAUCAAUUGCUGAAGCAUAUAUUGUUAACGAGUCUUUAAAUUUUUGCUCGAUGUAUCUCAACAACAUUGAAACAAGAUUUAAUCGACCUGAGCGCAAUGAAGAUGGUGGGA